GGAAUAUUGGACAAUGGGCGCAAGCCUGAUCCAGCCAUGCCGCGUGAGUGAUGACGGCCCUAGGGUUGUAAAGCUCUUUCGCAGGUGAAGAUAAUGACGGUAACCUGAGAAGAAGCCCCGGCUAACUUCGUGCCAGCAGCCGCGGUAAUACGAAGGGGGCUAGCGUUGUUCGGAAUUACUGGGCGUAAAGCGCACGUAGGCGGACUAUUAAGUCAGGGGUGAAAUCCCGGGGCUCAACCCCGGAACUGCCUUUGAUACUGGUAGUCUGGAGUCCGGAAGAGGUGAGUGGAAUUCCGAGUGUAGAGGUGAAAUUCGUAGAUAUUCGGAGGAACACCAGUGGCGAAGGCGGCUCACUGGUCCGGUACUGACGCUGAGGUGCGAAAGCGUGGGGAGCAAACAGGA
rnacentral:misc_RNA from 1 species